rnacentral:rRNA from 1 species
GAUGAACGCUGGCGGUGUGCCUAAUACAUGCAAGUCGAGCGAACAGACGAGGAGCUUGCUCCUCUGACGUUAGCGGCGGACGGGUGAGUAACACGUGGAUAACCUACCUAUAAGACUGGGAUAACUUCGGGAAACCGGAGCUAAUACCGGAUAACAUGUUGAACCGCAUGGUUCAACAGUGAAAGACGGUUUUGCUGUCACUUAUAGAUGGAUCCGCGUCGCAUUAGCUAGUUGGUAAGGUAACGGCUUACCAAGGCAACGAUGCGUAGCCGACCUGAGAGGGUGAUCGGCCACACUGGAACUGAGACACGGUCCAGACUCCUACGGGAGGCAGCAGUAGGGAAUCUUCCGCAAUGGGCGAAAGCCUGACGGAGCAACGCCGCGUGAGUGAAGAAGGUCUUCGGAUCGUAAAACUCUGUUAUUAGGGAAGAACAAAUGUGUAAGUAACUAUGCACGUCUUGACGGUACCUAAUCAGAAAGCCACGGCUAACUACGUG